AGAUCAUUUGGGUUUCUGCACCAGGAAAAAACUUUCUACUGCACUUAUCAACAAGACAAGACAUCAUGAGUGAUAACCCGGCCGCACCAGCCACAGGGCCAGAGGUGAAAGGACCUGACGCAGACGGAGGAAAGGGACACGGACAUGGACAUGGACAUGGACAUGGACAUGGACACGGAAAAGAUCAUGGGAAAGAACAUAAAAACAAGGGAGAAGGAAAACCAGAUGAAAAGAAAGGAGGUCAUGGUCAAGGUCAUGGUCAUGGUCAUGGUCCUGGUAAAUGAAGAAAAACUCCUUGAAUCAACAUUCUAUGAUAAUGAUUGUAAAAAAAAUCAAUACAUAAUCUUCAAUAAACUAAUCCAGAAAAAGGCAA